GUAUGCAAGAACUAUACGAGGGCCUACAUUCAUUCUCUUGUAACAAAGGAUGCUAUGGGAUCUCAGCUUUUAUCAUAUCACAAUUUAUACUAUAUGAUGCAGCUUAGCAGAAAUCUACACUAAUCCAUAGUCCAGGGGAAGUUUCCCGAGUUUGUAUGCAACGUUUUGUAGAAAAUUUUUCCUAAAGGAGAUGUACCUGAAUGGUUCCGCAAUGCCAUGGAAGUUGCUGAAAUCGAUAUCUCUUCAUGAUGUGCUCCUCUUCGUAACGAUUAACUAAACAAGGUUGAAUUCUGGUGUUAUUUACUUCGGCUUUCUGAGGUUGAGAUGAAACGAAUCUAAUUUACAGGUAACCAUGUAGAGCAGCAUAAAUUUUGUUAGCUUAUAAUAUGCCUGCUUCUUCAC